GGACGCGUGCUAGAGAGGCCGAAUAGGCCACCCUGCUAAGGUGGAGCCCCUCGUUAGGGGGGCCGUGGGUUCGAAUCCCACCGCGUCCG
rnacentral:tRNA from 1 species